CCCCCGCUCACCGCCGGGCGCUGCCCGCUCCUCCUCUGGGCGCAGCGCGGCCCCGCGGCCCGGCCGCUGCGCUGGGGGUCCGCGCUGCCGGGCGGCACUUCCCCGGCCCCCAAGAAAAUUAAUCACCAAAAAAUAAUUCCCGAGAAAAAUGGAGAGUAAAAUCCAAGAUGGCGGCGCCGGCCGCAGCACCGCCCGCUCCAUCCGCUGUCGGGAAAUAAGUCCCAGCUGCGGCCGGAGCCCCCCGCCCCCACCGCGCCGCGCCCCCGCGUCCCCGCGCCCGGCCUCACCUCGCCUCUCGCGCGGCCGCGGCGUCCCAAAGGCCGCCUUCGCCGGGGGUCCGCGUCCCGUGUCCUGGCGCCGCGCGCGCCGCCUCCGGUGUCCGGGCGCCCUCACCUCAUAGCCCCGGAGCCUCGCCUCCCGCACCGCAGACGCGUCGCCGCCCCCGGUGAGCCGUCCGGACGCCGCCCGGGAUCGGUGGAAGGACACGAAAACGAGUGCCCUCGGCCGGGCGGAGGGACACCACGCCGGCUCGCGCCACCCCUGCUGCCUCUGUUGCUUUUACGGGACUCGCGGGGGGGCGGGGGAGGCGGAGAAACACGGGAAAGAAACGAGUUCCUCGCUGGGUGCUCCCGGCCGCGGAGGAACAAAAAGCGAAUUUGGAGAGAGCCGAGAAGGGCCGUCGCCUCGCGUCGCCCGCGGCGGAGGGAUCCGCGCUGAGGGUCGGCAGGGAUCCCUCCGCCCCUCGCUGCCCUUUAAAUCGCGGCUGGAGGCGGCGUCGCCGCGCGCCCCUCGGGCGCCACCCCGGCUCCGUCCGGGUCUUUAGCGCAGCUGAACCCGCGGGGGACGGCUUCCCGAACCUGGACGGGGGGCAGCGCCGGGGGACGGGCGGGCUCCUCGCCCGCUGCGCGUGUGCCGGUGGCGCCGAGGGGAGGUGGCCCACGGAGGCGAGCUUCUUUGUUGUGGGAGUGGGUGUCGUUGGAGCGGAUACACGCCUACAGACCUUGUGGGCUGCCCGAGCAUUCCGCCGCGUAGAGUGGGAGGGAGGGAGGGAGGGAGGGAUGGAGACUGCAACCAGUUCUCAGGGGAUGAAGGGGCAGGGAGUCCCUGGCUGGGGCAGGGGGACAGGCA
rnacentral:lncRNA from 1 species